rnacentral:rRNA from 1 species
AUGGAUGCACCGUUUGAUGAUGACCGUGUUUCCUUCAUAUUGUGGAUCUGCUCUCUUCCACCGCCAUACAGAUCAAAACUGCAUCAACAAGGAGAGACAUGGACGGAGCGAAGCUACUGCAUGGAUGCACCAUUAGUCGAGGAUCGUGCUUCCUUCCCAUGGGUGGCUGUGCAUCUGUGCUUUAUUUGUUCAUAUAACAUUUUUCAGAGAUACAACAAUUUUGCUUCCUUUAAGUCACGAGGAGUACAAUGCUUCCUAAGCUCAUAUCAUAUGUAUCCUACAAAUUAUCGACUUGUAUCCCUUCAUUUAGCCAUGCUUCCUACUAAUGGUGGCGUGCUUCCUUCCACCGCUAGGUGUUCCACCAGAUCAAAGUGA